CCCGACGGUGUCUUCUCGCCGGCUCUGAACCCACUUCCGGAGAGCGGGAUUGGCCCCGCCCCGGCCCAAGCUCUGCGCAGCCUCAGUUCUGCACCGAGGGCCCGUGGCGCUGUCUUGGAGGUUAGGGUUUUUGCUCUCCGGCUAGGCUCGGGUUCUAGGAUUGUCUACUUCAGAUCGUUGGGGGCCAGCAACUCAUCGGACAGAUUAAAGUUGCUAUUAACGUUCUCCUGCCCAAUAAAUUGAUUUCUAUUGCUAAGCCAGAGUACGUCCCAAGGAGACAGUCCACAGAGCACUGAGUAGGCAGACAAGUCCUAGCUGGGAGGUGAGCAAGAGUGGAAGACGCAGAAGGAUCACCGAAGGAAUCUUACAAAUAAUUCCCUAGUAAAUUCAAUUGUGGAGAAGCAGAGGAAGGAAGCAUAAGAAACAUAUGUACUCAGUAUUUGUCAAGCAGGACUUCACUGACACUGACUGUUCCAGGGGAGGAAGAAGAGCACAACCACAUUACUGCAAAGUAGAGGUGGAAGUCAAAAUUCUCCAAUUGGCCUCCAUUGACACCUGAACGAUCACCAGAUCACCAUUUAAAUUGAAGACCAAAAUAAUCUAUCAGACUGCCUGCCUUUACUCCAUCUGAAGAUGAUUCAAGACAGACAUCUAGGAAUGUUGACUGCCUGCCUUCAGAACUCAGAAACCAGCGUUAUAGUCUGCUUCGAUCAUUAAACCUUUGUUUUUCUUUUGUUUCCUUAGAGAUACCUUUUAUUAAAUACCUGAUUGCUUGCACCAUAGGCUUAACCUUGGGAACCCACCGUCAUUACUGCUUCCUGAAAUGAGACAUAACUGUUUAACUGAACUUUUCUUAAGACUGAGAAUGGUUUACUGAGAUAUAGAACAACUGAUCAACCCCAUGUGAAGCAUCCAGGGAAUUUUCAGAGGAGGGAACUGUAGGGAUUCAGAAUGAGCCACCCAAAGAUCCCGCUUCACUCAAGCCACAAAGUGCCUGUAGCUGGUUGACAGGCAGCCUCCUCCGCCCUGCCUUUCUUUGGGGUUGCGCAGUCUGCACAGGCAACAAAUGAGCCACUCCAAGAUGUGCCUGUAUGGUAUACAAAUUAUUUUGAGCUAAAGGUUACUGAGACUCUACAGGCUCAAGAGAAACUUCUGUCCCCAACAGUAUAAACUUACAAGUAAAUUAUAUUAAAAACAAAGCUAAUAUACACUUAAAACCUA